ACAGGCGUCGCCUGGAGGUGUGAAGACUACCAUUCGCAUCGCCGUCGACAGUUUUGUCCGUAUGCCAACUUUGAAAAAAAUGCGUGCAAAAUGGUUUCGCGGUUUGGUGGCCGUGAGUCGANUUUUUUGUUUUCCCAUACAAAUGAAUUUUGCGGAAAAUGAAAAGUGGCCCGCGAGCCCCGUCUGGCGUGCGACCCACUAAAAGUGCGUCGGUGGGUAUGUGAGAGGGGGCAAACCAGCCAAGCCGGAANCGGCGAAAGCUGGGCCGCCCACCUACCUCUCAGUGGNUUCGUGCCGCACCAACGUACCUGAUCUUUCAGACCUGCACUGCGCAGCCGUCACAGUUCGUGAGGAGCUACUCGCUUACGGGCGGCUGUAGUGCAUGGUCGACCCCCACGAACGCGGCAGACCCGUUCUGCACGCCUACUGGGGAUACCUGUGGCGGUCAGGCUUGCCUGGCCCCCUCGGAUGGGCUCUGUGGAUAACUGGCCACUGGUCAAAUCUACAAACGAGCAGCAGGAGGCAACUGAGCAUGGCG
rnacentral:rRNA from 1 species